GCAGUAGCCGCGGUAAUACCGAGGGUGCGAGCGUUAAUCGGAUUUACUGGGCGUAAAGCGUGCGUAGGCGGCUUCUUAAGUCGGAUGUGAAAUCCCUGAGCUUAACUUAGGAAUUGCAUUCGAUACUGGGAAGCUAGAGUAUGGGAGAGGAUGGUAGAAUUCCAGGUGUAGCGGUGAAAUGCGUAGAGAUCUGGAGGAAUACCGAUGGCGAAGGCAGCCAUCUGGCCUAAUACUGACGCUGAGGUACGAAAGCAUGGGGAGCAAACAGGAUUAGAUACCCCUGUAGUCCCUGUCUCUUAUAC
rnacentral:rRNA from 1 species